rnacentral:rRNA from 1 species
UACUAGAGUAGCACUUGCAUAUCAAUAAGCGGAGGAAAAGAAACUAACAAGGAUUCCCCUAGUAGCGGCGAGUGAAGCGGGAAGAGCUCAAAUUUGAAAUCUUAAAGGGUUUCCCUUUACGAAUUGUAGUUUAAAGAAGUGUUUUCUGUUGAGGUUUUGGUAAAAGUUCUUUGGAAUAGGACAUCAUAGAGGGUGGAGAAUCCCGUAUUUGACCUUUACUUUCAACUUUGUGAUACACUUUCAAAGAGUCGGAUUGUUUGGGAAUGCAGUCCAAAAUGGGUGGUAAAUUUCAUCUAAAGCUAAAUAUUGGCGAGAGACCGAUAGCGAACAAGUACCGUGAGGGAAAGAUGAAAUGAACUUUGAAAAGAGAGUUAAACAGUACGUGAAAUUGUCAAAAGGGAAGCGUUUGACACCAGUGUUGUUUUUCUGAAAAUCAAUUAAAGAACUGUUUAUGCUAAGUUGUUUAGACUUUAUCAGCUAAUCUGUUUAGUUUUGAGCUUUUCUUUAAUGCACUUUUCAGUUAACAAGUCAACAUCAAUUUCUUUUGCUGUAAAAAAGCUUGAGGAAGGUGGCUUGAGAUUCGUCUUAAGUGUUUAUAGCCUCUUGCCUAUGCAGUCGGAGAGAUUGAGGUCUGCAGCGUAGAUCCUUCGGGGCUAAAUGCAUUUGUGCUAAGUUAUAGCAUUUUAUAGACAACUUGUUGACUAUGAUUUGUCUUGUAGCUUACUCGCUUAUGUUAUUUUACCUACGCUUAGGAUGUUGAGCGCAUGUCUCUCUCU